rnacentral:rRNA from 1 species
CCUACGGGAGGCUGCAGUGAGGAAUAUUGGUCAAUGGCCGUAAGGCUGAACCAGCCAAGUAGCGUGAGGGAAGACUGCCCUAUGGGUUGUAAACCUCUUUUAUGCGGGGAUAAAGUUGUCCACGUGUGGAUGUUUGCAGGUACCGCAUGAAUAAGGACCGGCUAAUUCCGUGCCAGCAGCCGCGGUAAUACGGAGGGUCCGAGCGUUAUCCGGAUUUAUUGGGUUUAAAGGGAGCGUAGGCGGGUUGUUAAGUCAGCGGUAAAAGCCCGGGGCUCAACCCCGGCGAGCCGUUGAAACUGGCUGUCUUGAGAUGGCGAGAGGUAUGCGGAAUGCGCGGUGUAGCGGUGAAAUGCUUAGAUAUCGCGCAGAACUCCGAUUGCGAAGGCAGCAUACCGGCGGCGAACUGACGCUGAGGCACGAAAGCGUGGGUAUCGAACAGGAUUAGAUACCCUUGUAGUC